UUACAGCUGACACAUAAAAAAAAAAAAAACCCACUGAAACCUGUAACAUGUAGCGAAGCUUUAUCUUCGCAGAGUGAGUUUAUAUUAUAGUAAUGGAAAAGAAAACAGAGGACAGCAGUUUUGACACUUCUCCACCAAUGAGUAGAUACAAUGGAAUUCAUUUCCUCUGUGUGGACGACCACCAAGCUGGUGAGAUGGAGAAAUAUAUGAUGACGGAGAGGAGGAGGAGGAGGAGAGGAAGAAGAGGAGGAGCAUGAGGGUUGUCUGGGGGGGAUGGGGUGCCAGCUUUCACUGUUAAGCAGAGACAUCUGGAAGCAUUUAUGUCCGCACUAACACAGAGCGGCGCAGGCCCAACAGUUACAUCACUCACAGUUCCACACAAUCCCCUGCCCCCCACCACAUGCGCACGCACACACGCACACACGCACGCACGCACGCACGCACACACACACACAGGGCCAAAUACUUAACGGCACGUGCAAAGACAAACAAACAUACAUGAGCCUGAACGAACUGAAGAAACACGUAUCAUGAGAUUUGGGUGUGUGCAUAAACACGCACUCAUAUAGACACAGACAACCACUAAAAGAUACAAGAAGACUCAUGUGGACAAGCGCCUACACACAUGCACUCUCGCACACACACACACACACGCACACACACGCACAAUAUCACACCCCCCCUCUGGCCCCCGUAACCCAGUACGAUUUCCUGCAAAUUCCAAAGUCAGAUCCCGGCUGGAACAUUUCAGCCCGCCUGCCACGUCAGUUUGCCUCCACCAUCCUCCCUCUCUCGUUCUUUCUUUCUCUUUGCUUUUUCCGACCGCUGUAAAAAUUUACCAUUUCCAGUUAGCGUUUGGGCGCACUGAGGCCACUGGACUGGAGUUCAUCUUUGGCAGUGGUUUGUAGUGCUAUCUUUUAGUGGUCUUUUUAUUUCGCAGAGGAAUGGCUCUCAUUGAGGCCUUGGGAAGAAGAUCAAGCGGGUAGCGACCUGCAGCUGCAAUGACCUCAGGGUCCUUCCUCCUAUCUGAGUCCUAACCCCCCCGCCUGCCCAGUGUUCAGACUACCUGUUCAUCAGGCUACAGCUGAACAGUAGUCUGCACAUUGGUUAGGCUGGGCUGGGACGCACACACCUCAAAACUACAGUGGCUGAUGGCACCAAAUCUCCACAGCAGUGCCAAAGACAGACAGGGACUCAGCAGUCAGGACAAACCAGUACUCCUUGGAGCCUCCCUUCAUGAUGCUGAUGUUGAUGGUUAGCCAGCCUUUCCUAAUCACCUGCACAGGGGGGAGACCGUGUGGAAGAAAGAGAAGGGUGGUAGGGAGAGAGGGGUACCAGGAGGAUGGAGGAAAACAGCUUUAUCAAUCAGGUUUACGCACUGGUGACAUGAGGGCCCCAUUAAGUGUUGCACCAUUAAUACUGCGGUGUGACUGACACUAAUUAAAUCUUACCUGCUUACCUGCUAGGUCACUUUGAAUUUGGUUGUUUUUCUUUUAUCCUUUUUAUCUUAAGAUUAAACAUUUUUACAUCUCAGUCAAACAUUACUUAAAAAUGCACUACAACACAGAAGCAUGGAUUAACGGUGAAACUUAAUGAGUAAAAAGCACGGAGUGACCAUAGAACAGUCAUACAAGUACACAUUAUGUGUGUUAAAUUGCUAAAUGUGUGCAGAAGCAUCAGAAGGUUUCAUUGAAAACACUGAAGAUUCUUUUUCACUAAACAGAAAAGAAUCUUAAAACCAACAAACAGGACCAGAUGGUGUCCAGACCAUGCAAGCCCCAACAGAGUCUGAGACAAAGGUCGGCGGUGGUAUCUUAGUGUCAGUGGGUCAGUAAAAGCUAACCUAUGUUAGCGGAGUUAUUAAGUUAAACAUACUCGGGUAUACACGAGAGGGGUUAAAUACCUGGAUGAGUAAAAGAUGGGGAGAAGUGACUGUUAAAGACAGGAGUAAAGGAGGAGAAAAGAAGUGCAAUCAAAGAGAUUAAAUGCGGAGUCUAGUAGUCUGAUAGAGUUAGCAGGGUUCAUGGAGGGACAGAAAACUACACAGCAAAGUGAGAAUUUGAAGUGGAGAGUUGGAGAGGGAGGAAAUACAUCAGUCUGAGGCCGGGUUGAGUGAAUCACUCUAAAGAAAAUAAGCCAUGCAUUUUAGAGGAGCCCUAUUCACAACUGUCUCUCCAUUUUUUUUUUUCCCUCCGAAUAGACGCUCAGGCAUUUCAAGUACAAUAGGAGGAACUAUCUGUGAGAAGUGUGCUCUUGUGCUAAUGAAAGCUAAGUAAAAAUGUCAAUUUCAAAGCCUGCUUUAGACCUCUCUUGUGAACUCCCUCUCCAUCCAGCAGAGGACUGGAGUGAGUUAUGGAGGAAAAAAAAAGGUUCAUUAGUUCAAAAGAGCCAACAUAAACAUGGGAGAGGAGGCAAGCACAUAGAAGCUAAAUUGGUAGUUUGCCUUGGCGAGGAAAUAACUUAAAAGUUUUCAGAAACAAGGAGUUUCAAAUCCCCUGUAUUCAAGUCAGUUGGAAUUAUUAUAACCAAGUUGACAUUAAGAAAGAGGAAAUGACAUGAGUUUUACAGAUUAGAUGCUUAUGUGAUGCUUUUUCUUUCACUGCCAGUGUAAGACAACUGUGAUAUAAUGUUCGACCCGUUUCUGUAAAUGUAAGUGAUGCUGUGGUUAAUUAAAAAAUUGUUAGAUUACAUCUGAGCUUAACUCCAUGGUUUCAAAUGGUUGAAAUGAAAAUGAUCAGAAUGAAAUGUGUCAAUUUAACUUUGCCUUGAUAGUCAGUGACUUACAAUUAAAAUAAAUGACACUAACAAAGAAUUUUGAUUUAAACAAUGAAAUAUAUCCCAAAGCCAUGGACCAGUCACCAUAUUAAAUGAUAAGAAAUUUUGAUCAGCUCUGAGUACAAGAAUAUCAAUUAGAGACUUGGAGACAGUGAUUUUUUUUGUAACAAACAGAAGUUGGAUAUGAACUUAGUACUUGGUAAGAAAAGUAUUUCAACAUGCAUUUAAUCUAAAGAGAAAAAACAAACACUACAAAUUAAAAGAAAAAUUUAAGGAAUCAUAGAAAUAAUGCGUUUUGUGUGUUUUUUUGAUUUGAUCGCUCCCCACUCCCUCCCCAUUUUCUCCCCAGUGACAUUUAGGAUGAUUCUCACAAGGCAAACUUUCGAAGCACCAUGCAUGAGGCAGCAGCAGAGGUAUAAAACCAGAGACAAGUCAGAACUGAUGCCGUCCACAGUCGGUGGUGGGUGGAAGAUUUGCCUGUAUCUCUCUGUGGUUUUCUCAUGGUGAACAAAUAGCAAUUCUACAAAAGAAUCUUUUGUGUGGAUAAAAUUAUUUAUAUGUCAUUUUACAUAUUUUGUGGAGUAAAAAAAGUAAAAUGUUAGUAGCAACACAGAUGUACAAUUAAAGACAAUUACUGUCGUAUUAAAAUGAAA